rnacentral:rRNA from 1 species
AUACGGAGGGCGCAAGCGUUGUCCGGAUUUAUUGGGUUUAAAGGGUGCGUAGGCGGUGCGCUAAGUCAGUGGUGAAAUCCCGCAGCUCAACUGCGGAACUGCCAUUGAUACUGGCGCACUCGAGUACGGACGAGGUAGGCGGAAUUUAUGGUGUAGCGGUGAAAUGCAUAGAUACCAUAAAGAACACCGAUAGCGAAGGCAGCUUACUAGACCGUAACUGACGCUCAGGCACGAAAGCGUGGGGAGCGAACAGGAUUAGAAACCCCGGUAGUCC